rnacentral:rRNA from 1 species
GAUGAACGCUGGCGGCGUGCCUAAUACAUGCAAGUCGAGCGAACAGACGAGGAGCUUGCUCCUCUGACGUUAGCGGCGGACGGGUGAGUAACACGUGGAUAACCUACCUAUAAGACUGGGAUAACUUCGGGAAACCGGAGCUAAUACCGGAUAAUAUAUUGAACCGCAUGGUUCAAUAGAGAAAGACGGUUUUGCUGUCACUUAUAGAUGGAUCCGCGCCGCAUUAGCUAGUUGGUAAGGUAACGGCUUACCAAGGCAACGAUGCGUAGCCGACCUGAGAGGGUGAUCGGCCACACUGGAACUGAGACACGGUCCAGACUCCUACGGGAGGCAGCAGUAGGGAGUCUUCCGCAAUGGGCGAAAGCCUGACGGAGCAACGCCGCGUGAGUGAUGAAGGUCUUCGGAUCGUAAAACUCUGUUAUUAGGGAAGAACAAAUGUGUAAGUAACUAUGCACGUCUUGACGGUACCUAAUCAGAAAGCCACGGCUAACUACGUG